rnacentral:rRNA from 1 species
GACAGAGGGUGCAAACGUUGUUCGGAAUUACUGGGCGUAAAGCGCGUGUAGGCGGCCAUGCAAGUCGGAUGUGAAAGCCCUCGGCUCAACCGGGGAAGUGCACUCGAAACUGCAAGGCUAGAGUCUCGGAGAGGAUCGUGGAAUUCUCGGUGUAGAGGUGAAAUUCGUAGAUAUCGAGAGGAACACCGGUGGCGAAAGGCGGCGAUCUGGACGAUGACUGACGCUGAGACGCGAAAGCGUGGGGAGCAAACAGG